CGAAUUCGUAACCUAUUGUUCAAAAUGGGUGAUGGACAUCCCCAAAUUAAUACAUACUAUAUGAAACGUAACAUAUUAUACUAAAUCGAGGGUCUCGGAUUUACGCAGACAUAAUACGAAAUGCUCUGAGACCAGGUUGUGGUCCCAGAUCUGUUUCUGUUUUUAACCAUAAGAGAUGGCAAGACGGCAAAAACACGUCUGGGAAAGGGCAACUUAGUACCCACCUUUCACUCUAUUUCCUUUCACUCUAAAUAUAUAAUGACCCAUCUUACUCUUCUUACUCCACCUAGCAUCCACCUUUCCUGUGUUUUGUAGCAUGCCCCAACACUAGACUAGAUCAUCAAAUAUCACUCCGCUGUGUGGUGUAGUGCCGUUUCCACGGUGACGUGUGGGUGGUUGUUUGUCCUCUAACACCCUGUGACAACAACUCAGGCUCUUACUGCCCCAGACCCCCCCAGCCCUUGUUAAUGAUCUUGUGCUAAUACUGUUAAUGUCUCACUCACAAUGACACACAUUUUGAUAAUUUAGAGUAAAAAAUCAUGACCAAAUGUUAAAAUGAUGUUGAGUCUAAAGUGUUAAAUAUAUAUCACUGUUUUAGACAGUGUACUUCUGCUCUGGUUUAAAAGUAUCAUAUUUCAUAACACCCGCAUGUUAUGCAAACCUGCAAUUCCCCGUGUGCAGUGCACUCAAUGACCUUUCUUGUGUGUGAUAAAACAGGACUACCCUUAGGAUGAGCUCCUCCUGGUCUACGUCAGGGUCUUCAUCGAGGUAUCCAGCUUCUACCUGCUUCUAACAGUGGAAGCAAAGGACAGGCACCUAAAGGUUUCCUUGCCUAAGAUCAAUACCGACGCAGAGUACAGCCCUUUGAAAUUCAGCCUGCGAGACAACACCCGUGACAACACCCGUGACAACCAUACAGGUAGAAAUGCAGGUGAGCAUCUCUCUUCCCUCUGUUCAUUUCUCUUGCUGUUAGUCUUCUUUUCCUCUUCUCGUAUCCACCC
rnacentral:lncRNA from 1 species